rnacentral:rRNA from 1 species
CAGCAGCCACGGUAAUACAGAGGGUGCGAGCGUUAAUCGGAUUUACUGGGCGUAAAGCGUGCGUAGGCGGCUUUUUAAGUCGGAUGUGAAAUCCCUGAGCUUAACUUAGGGAUUGCAUUCGAUACUGGGAAGCUAGAGUAUGGGAGAGGAUGGUAGAAUUCCAGGUGUAGAGGUGAAAUGCGUAGAGAUCUGGAGGAAUACCGAUGGCGAAGGCAGCCAUCUGGCCUAAUACUGACGCUGAGGUACGAAAGCAUGGGGAGCAAACAGGAUUAGAUACCCCAGUAGUCCCUGUCUCUUAUAC